GGGGAUGGCCUGACCACCAGCUUCUGGAAUGAUGUGUGGGUUGAUAAAUGUCCUCUAAAGAUCCUGUUCCCUGACUUGUAUGCUGUGGACUCUCAACAAAAUGCCACAUUCAGAGAUAUUUAUCAGGAAGGGGCUUGGGAGUUGAGUUUCAGAAGGAAUCUCAAUGAAGAGGGGAGAGCUCAGUUAAUUGAGCUGCUCUCUAAAAAUCCAGGAUGUGGGGGAGGAUUCCUUGUGCCUUUCAGCUGGUUAAGAGGAACUGGAAGGGAGGAGAGAAUAAAUGCAAGCUGUGUGGGGUUUCUGAAACUGUUAAUCAUGUCUUGUUCAAUUGCCCUAUUGCAAAAUUUACUUGGUGUGUGGUCAAGGAAGUUUUGCACUUCCCUGCAAUCCCUGUCUCUUUCUGGGAAGGCUUAG
rnacentral:lncRNA from 1 species